rnacentral:rRNA from 1 species
AUGGAUCAUAAUCCACAUGUAUUGUGUUGGAACGUGAGGGGUCUUAAUUGCCCUGCCAAGAAGCAUGCCAUUAGGGAGUUCGUAGUGGCGGCUAAGGUUAAUCUAGUGUGUCUGCAAGAGACUAAGCUUGAUGUACUUGACCAGUUUACUGAUAUGCAAUGCAUUGGGCCAUCUUAUGAUGGUUCUGACUAUGUGCCUGCGAAGGAGACGCGUGGGGGCAUCCUUAUUGCCUGG